AUUGAACGCUGGCGGCAGGCCUAACACAUGCAAGUCGAGCGGAGCGGCGGACGGGUGAGUAAUGCCUAGGAAUCUGCCUGGUAGUGGGGAUUACGUUCGGAAACGGGCCCCUAUACCGCCUACCAUCCGAUUAGCCUUGGUCGGAGUAGCUAGUUGGUGGGGUUAAGGCCUACCAAGGCGACGAUCCGUAACUGGUCUGAGAGGAUGAUCAGUCACACUGGAACUGAGACACGGUCCAGACUCCUACGGGAGGCAGCAGUGGGGAAUAUUGGACAAUGGGCGAAAGCCUGAUCCAGCCAUGCCGCGUGUGUGAAGAAGGUCUUCGGAUUGUAAAGCACUUUAAGUUGGGAGGCGUUACCAACAGAAUAAGCACCGGCUAACUUCGUGCCAGCAGCCGCGGUAAUAC
rnacentral:rRNA from 1 species